GACGUAGGGUGCGAGCGUUGUCCGGAUUUAUUGGGCGUAAAGAGCUCGUAGGCGGCUCGUCGCGUCGACCGUGAAAACCCGCGGCUUAACUGCGGGCUUGCGGUCGAUACGGGCGGGCUAGAGUUCGGUAGGGGAGACUGGAAUUCCUGGUGUAGCGGUGAAAUGCGCAGAUAUCAGGAGGAACACCGGUGGCGAAGGCGGGUCUCUGGGCCGAUACUGACGCUGAGGAGCGAAAGCGUGGGGAGCGAACAGG
rnacentral:rRNA from 1 species